GCUCAUUUAUGAAUCGCAGCUACCGGGGGCUUCUGAGGAUCUCUGGACGACAGCUGAGUUAUUUGGGACCCAAUGGCCUUGGAGUUUGCCAGACUUCCUGGUCACAAAGCCUCAGGGACCCCCGAGGAUGCCAGCUAAUACUAACUGCAUAUCAGAUGCUGACAAGGAAAAUAACUUUUUCUUGUAUUUUUAGAUUUUAGGACAACCCAAACAACUCACACUUGACUAUAGCCAAAUGAUAAUUUUGAAUAGAUUUGCUUAAAAAAACUUUGGCUAGAAUUAACAUUCCUUUGGGAAAAUGCAAAAGCUGAUGGGAACCGUUCUUUAUAUCAAUUUUAAAAUGCAAGACUUAUCAUUUAAUUUUUUUUUCAAGCCAUUUUAAAUGUUAUGCCAUGACAGAAAUAAGCUGUAAUUUACUUUGUAAAUAAAUUUGAUAUUAAGA